UGUGCGCGAGUCAUUGGGAGUCACUAAACCUAAAGGCGCAAUGAAAGUGAAGGCUUCGCUCCGCGACAGUCGAGGGACGAUGAGCGUUCGCGCCCGGCCGCCGCUCCGCAGUCCCGGGGCGUMURGUCCUCAMUGCGARGUGRRGCGCACCCAGAGCGCACACGUUGGGACCCGAAAGAUGGUGAACUAUGCCUGGCCAGGUCGAAGUCAGGGGAAACCCUGAUGGAGGACCGUAGCGAUUCUGACGUGCAAAUCGAUCGUCGGAGCUGGGUAUAGGGGCGUU
rnacentral:rRNA from 1 species